rnacentral:rRNA from 1 species
CAGCGCCGCGGUAAAACGGAGGGUGCAAGCGUUAAUCGGAAUUACUGGGCGUAAAGCGCACGCAGGCGGUCUGACAAGUCAGAUGUGAAAUCCCCGGGCUUAACCUGGGAACUGCAUUUGAAACUGUCAGGCUGGAGUCUUGUAGAGGGGGGUGGAAUUCCAGGUGUAGCGGUGAAAUGCGUAGAGAUCUGGAGGAAUACCGGUGGCGAAGGCGGCCCCCUGGACAAAGACUGACGCUCAGGUGCGAAAGCGUGGGGAGCAAACAGGAUUAGAUACCCCUGUAGUCCCUGUCUCUUAUACA